ensembl:snoRNA
CUUCCUCAGCCUUACUCCAGGGGCUUUUGUUUCUGUAGAGUGCCCUGGCAUUGCCUGAGGAUAAACUCAAAGCAUGCUCGUUUCCCUCCCCAGUAAGAUUCUCGGUAUCCUUUGGGGCCUACCGUUUGAGCAAACAUU